GUUUUCGACCUGCUCAUGUCAAAGGGAGCUGAUCUCACACUAAAAGCUGACAACAAUGACACCGUCCUUCAUCUGGCAUGUCAAGGUGGAAAUACUCCCAUUGUUGAAUACCUGCUAACACUGUUUGACAUUAAUUGUCGUGGACACAUGGGUCUCUCACCAGUGAUGAGAGCAGCUGUUUUUGGAAAGAAGGAUGUUUUCGACUUGCUCAUGUCAAAGGGAGCUGAUCUCACACUAAAAGCUGA